GUCACCCAGUGUCACCCCCUGUGUCACCCAGUGUCACCUGAUGUCACCCAGUGUCACCCUGUGUCACCCAGUGUCACCCAGUGUCACCCAGUGUCACCCUGUGUCACCCCAGUCCAUCCCAGUCCAUCCCAGUUCCAUCCCAGUCCAUCCCAGUCCAUCCCAGUAUCCCCAGUUUCUCACCCAGGCUCUUGAGGAGCAGCACCAGUGACCCCAGGUCGGCUCUCUGGAUCUCCGGCACCGCCGUCUCCAGUGCUCCCAGUCCAUCCCAUCCCUCCCAGUCCCUCCCAGUCCAUCCCAGUAUCCCCAGUUUCUCACCCAGGCUCUUGAGGAGCAGCACCAGUGACCCCAGGUCGGCUCUCUGGAUCUCCGGCACCGCCGUCUCCAGUGCUCCCAGUCCAUCCCAGUCCAUCCCAGUCCAUCCCAGUGUGUCCCCAGUCCAUCCCAGUCCAUCCCAGUCCAUCCCAGUCCAUCCCAGUCCAUCCCAGUAUCCCCAGUUUCUCACCCAGGCUCUUGAGGAGCAGCACCAGUGACCCCAGGUCGGCUCUCUGGAUCUCCGGCACCGCCGUCUCCAGUGCUCCCAGUCCAUCCCAGUCCAUCCCAGUCCCUCCCAGUCCCUCCCAGUCCAUCCCAGUCCAUCCCAGUCCAUCCCAGUUUCUCACCCAGGCUCUUGAGGAGCAGCACCAGUGACCCCAGGUCGGCUCUCUGGAUCUCCGGCACCGCCGUCUCCAGUGCUCCCAGUCCAUCCCAGUCCAUCCCAGUCCCUCCCAGUCCCUCCCAGUCCAUCCCAG